UUUCUGUCUAAAAUUUUAAACCCUAGGUAGUGUGCACUUUAAACACCCCACAAUGUACCUCCACGAUUUCUAACUCCUAACCCACAAAUCCAAUCUUAAACGGAUUCUCGGUAACAUAAUUCUUCAAAUUUUUCAUGUCUGUUUCACAUUUUUACAGUAUAUACCUCCAAUUCUUUCUCUUUUCUUCGCAUACCACUCAAAAAUUCUGAAUUACAGGAGAUUUUCUUCACCAAUAUUAUUGUAAAUGUUAUUGGGGAAACUGUGAGCUAUGAGGAUGUACAGUCUAUAAAACAAGAUGAUAACAUUAGUAUGUUCAUGAACAUUGUGAUACAAGAUUAUGAGAGCAAUAAUAUCUCUACAACUUUUUGGGGUGAUUUUGUGGAACAGAUCAAGCCACAUUUGAAUAGAUCCAAUGAUAAGCCAGUUGUCGUCGUCAUGCAGUUGAUUAGAGAACAGUGCACACCGAUAUCGAGUUGAUGAGCUAGCAUCUGGAAGUGUUGGAGUUAAAAAAAUUUAUUGCGGAUUUGAGUGACUGUAAGCAUUUGUAUAUACAAUUUUUAUGCGCAACAAGAAAUUUCUGGGUUGUAGCAACUAUAGUACAUGUAGAAUUAGACCGUGGAUGAUGCUAUUUCACAUGCAAAAAUUGCGCAAAGAAAGCAGUCAGAGAGGAGAGGAAAUUCUAUUUUAAAAAAUGCGGGCAGAUUCAAUUUGCCACUCAUAGGUACAAGCUACAAGUCAAAGUGAUGGAUUAUACACGUACAAUUUCUUUGCUGCUGUGGUAUAGGGAUACAACAAAGAUUAUCGAAAAGUCGGGAAAUAAUUUAAAGAAUGCUAUAGUUGAGGUAUAAUACAAUUGUUUGGAAAAAUAAAACUAUCAGCAUUGAAAGAAAUGGUACCUGAUCCUUUUCCCUGCAUUCAUUUCCUUUUUUAUUUUUGCGUAGUUGAAUUUGUGUCUAUAUUUGUGUCUAUAUGCAUGCGAUGACUGUUAAACUUGAAAGAACUUUAGGUUAACCAAUAGCGUCAAAGUUCUUUAAAGUUUAAGUCACAAGGUCAUUAAGAUCUGACAAUAAAUUUCAAAUGAGCUUACUGCUAUAUUUGUAUGCCUUUGCUCUUUUUAGAUUUACUUGAGAUGUUUAAUAAGUUUGAAAGGAUGAUAAUAGUUUUCUGUUUUUAGCUGUCCCAUAAGUUUACUAAAGUUAAGAUAAUUGUAGUUAAUCACUAAAAAAGUUAAGAUCUGUUUAUAAUAGUUCUCUAUUUUUAGCUUAUCACUAAAGUUUUCAAGAUAGGUAUCCUGCAACAAUGGUUGAAGAAGAUUCGAAUGCACAGUUAUCAGAAAAUAAGAUCAAGAGAGUAUUAAAAAUAAGAAGACAUCAUAAGUUGUUUGGAUGUGUAACUGUUGGAGAAACUAAGAACUGUCUGAUUAGUUAGUUUAUUGGUUUUAUUAAUUAUGAAUAGAAUGUUUGAAUCAUUUCAUGUUUUUCCUGGUAUUGAACUUUUCCUGUUUAGUUAAUUUGGUAUUUUCAUUUGUUAUGGACAAACUAUUUGAAUCAGUUCAUGGUUAGUUUACGAGGGAGAAAGAAUAGAUAAUUUCUCUAAUAGUUCUCUUGCCCGAUAUGAGUUCUGCACAAUAUGAUACAUCAUCUAAUUAUGCAGUGCCGUCCUAGGAUAAAUCCUCAGAAACUCUCUCGUGUUGCUCCCUGCUGCCAAAAAUGGACACCCACGACAUAUUUCUUCCUGGACCUUCAUAAUAAAGUUCACAGUAACUACAAACAGGUGACAAAACAUUUGGUGUACCAUUCUUACUAUGAAGCAAAUAACCAUAAUAUUUAUAUGAAGGCACAGAUGUACCCUUCAAAGUCUUUGAAUACACGUAGGAAUUAGAGCCUUCCACCAAAUAGUGUGUUGCUAAAUUUGCUUUGUCUUCCAAGGGAGAAAAAUAUUUAGGAUAAGUGAGAGCACAUUUCACCUUAGGUUUGGUGAGAGCGUUGGAAUCUUGCAGUCAGUAUUGAUCUCAAGGCUACUAGAUCUAAUUUGUACUAGCAAUUUAAAUUAUUUUGCCAUAACUUGAUAGGACCAUAUUUUGUAACAUCAACUUAGAUUUGAGAUACUCUAAGUUGGUCAUGGCACCAAGUACAAUUGUGGUGGGAAUAUGAGAUUUUGUAUCAAGAUUUGGAAUAGGUUAUGACAUUUAUGGGAAUAUUCAGGCAAAGUAGCUGAAACAUUAAAGCAAAAAGCAGUAGUUGCUGGCUGGGAAGAUGCACAAGUAUGACACCAUGUGGGAGACACAAUAUUUAAUGCAAAAGUUAAUGAAAAUAUUUGGUAUUUUCAGUAGGAGCAAAAGCGAUGAUUAGUUAUGCUCCGGACGAUGAGAAGGGUAUUGAAUAAGUUGACGCAGAACCUUUUACUGUCCUUAUUUUGUGAAGGAAAUGAACUUCAAUCCCCUCCAAAUGAAAAUGACCGUCACGUUUUUGGGAAAAAGAAGUGCCGCAUGAUAUAAUGCUACAUGUAUUAUACUGCACAACAUGAUAAUCGAGAAUCAGCGUGAUCUUAAUGUACCAAUUCAAGAUAAUUUGGAAGGUCCACCUCCAACAGUAUAAAUGACAGUAGAUGAAAAUCAACGAUUUCAAGAAUUUUUAGCUCGACAUUGAAGAAUUAAGGACAAAGAUGCUCAUUUUGUACUUUGUAAUGCAUUAAUAGAUCAUUUAUGGGAGAA